rnacentral:rRNA from 1 species
CCACUGUAACGUCCUAGUACGGCGAAGUGACAGGCAAGAAGCUCAGAUUUGAAAGGCACUUUUGUGCCGUUGUAUUCUGAAGUUAGGGUCCUGAGAAACGAUGCUUAAGUCUUCUGGAAAGGAGCGCCAUGGAGGGUGAUAGCCCCGUCUAGCAUUGACCUCAUAUAGGAUCUUAACAUGGAGUCGAGUUGUUUGGGAAUGCAGCUCAAAUGGGUGGUAUGCUCCAUCUAAAGCUAAAUAUCUGCGAGAGACCGAUAGUAAACAAGUACUGUGAGGGAAAGAUGAAAAGAACUUUGAAAAGAGAGUGAAAAAGUACGUGAAAUUGUUGAAAUGGAAGGGUAGGCCGCUAACCAUGUAGAGCCGUGUUUGGGGGGAAGAUAAAUGCUGUAGAAUGUAGCUCCUCGGAGUAUUAUAGAUGCAGUUCAUAUUCCCACCCGAGCGCGAGGAUCUCAGGUUCUACUAAAUGGUGGUCUACCACCCGUCUUGAAACACGGACCA